GUGGACGGCCAUGGUGGCAGGGUUCUACCCGAUCCCAUUCCGAACUCGGAAGUCAAGCCUGCCGACGUUCCGGGGUGUACUGCUUUUUUAAGCGGGAAACCCAGUUCGCUGUCCACA
rnacentral:rRNA from 1 species